UGCCUACAGCGCCUACCACGCCGACAGUCACAGCUAACGCGACCACAGUGCCUACAGUGUCUGCGGUACCACCAGCGCCCGCGGAAGCACCUAAGCCUCAAGCACCAUCAGUGGAAGAAUCAACGCCAACUGGCCCCAAACCUAUCAACUAUGCCGCAGCAGCGCGCGCUACAAAACCCAAGAAGCCUUCAGCCCCCACUGCAGCCCCUCCUGCCCCCACCUCUGCCCCCCCUAAGGCAGAGAAGAAACCCACAGACAAACUAGACAGGAAAGAAAAGGCGAAAUCGGAGAAGCCAGUGCCGAAACCUGAGAAAACUGUGCAGAGAAAAAACUCGACCAAGUGAGUAAGAUCCUUCAGACCUUUGUUGAAACCUCGUUGAUGAUUCUACACGAUAUUUCUAUGUGAUUGGUAUAAAUAUUGAAAGAAAAAGAAAGAAAGAUACGUUUAUUACAAAACUAGCUUUCCGCCCGCGGCUUCGCUCGCGUGGAAUUUUGUCUGUCACAGAAAAACAAUAUCGCGCGUAUUUGCUCACCGUUUAGACCUACCCUGGACUACGACAAACAUUUUAAAACCAAAAUCAGCUCAAUCGGCCCAGCCGUUCUCGAGUUUUAAUCAGACCAACGAACAUCAAUUCAUUUUUAUUUAUAUAGAUAGAUAGACUAGAGGCCGCCCGCGACUUCGAACGCGUGGAUCCCGUUUUACCCCCUUGAGGGUGGAGUUUCGUAAAAUCCUUUCUUAGCGGAUGCCUACGUCAUAACAUCUACCUGCAUGCCAAAUUUCAGCCCGAUGCAGAACGGCAGGUAUUUGACCGCAAUCGCGCCUGGUGUUAAGUGAGAUGCAGUCUAGGAUGGUACAUAUCUGCCCUGUAAGUGCCUAUUCACUCUCGCCUUGAAAAGGCCCGGAUUAUAGUGUUCGGGAAAUACAGCAGCAGGCAACGAACGAGGCAUAGUAAGAAAUUUUGUCUGUCAGAAAAACUUUAGGGCCUUCGUCCCUGUUUCAAAAAUCGGGAUAAAAACUAUCCUAUGUCCUUUCCCGGGACUCAAACUAUCUCUAUACAAAUUUCUUCAAAAUCGGUUGAGUUUGUGUGAAAGCGUAACAGUUUCGCAUUUGAGUCCUCUAGAAUCAUUAUUAGGACUCAUUUAUAAUAUAAGUAGGGAUAUUUUUUGGUUGAAAAGUCAUAAAAGAUGUUUGCAAAUAGGCUUUUAAAAAGCGCUUUUACACGUCCCAGUAUUGACCCUACCACUGCUUCGGGACAAUAAAUGGGCCAGUGCUGAGAAGAAGCAGCGCAAAAAACUCAGUCACUAUUGUCAGCCAUAUUUUUUUACAGAUUCAAAUUCAAGCGAUUUCAAUACUUAAACCAAUCACAAUAGAGUGUAGAUUCAUAACGAGUGUGAUACGAGCGUCUGGGAUGUAUAUUUAUACAAAAUAGUAUGUAAUAACAUUCAUACUGAUUUUUUUUAAAUUCUUUCUCGAGUAAAAUUUAAAUAAUUGUAAUGAUUAAAAAUUGUGUAUUAUAAAUAAAAAAAAUAUUACAUAAUAUAACAAAAAAAAAACGGUAACUACAUUUUAAUGUUAUGUGAAUUGUAAGUUAAAUAUUUUAAAUAUAAAAAUAGUUUUUCUCCACUGAAGUUUGUACCUCUUUACUGAUCCAUAGAGUUCAAAUUUGAUCAAUUCAGGAUCGGUUUAAAUUUACUUGUUGUAAUAUAAACCUUACGGCCUUUAAUUAAGAAUUCAUUUUGGAACGUCAGUGGGAAAAACCUUGCACACUUUAGGAAACAUAGGGUGGUAUUAAAUUUUUACUUUAAACAGUAAUAAGAUGGAACUCAAUAAGUUCAAUGGUGAAUUUUUUCUCAUUCAAGUAGUUUUACUUUAAAUAUUGAACCUUAAGACAAGGUUCAAAUGCCUUAAGAAGGUUACAAAAACUAAUAUCACCCUGUAUCUAAUAUCUAGCCUAACCAGUAAGGCUGUCCAUUUAUCCUAUCCUAGUUUUAAUUAAUUAUUAAAUGAAUAAAUGAAAAAAAAAGUAUUGUACAUUUAUGGUCUACUAAAAAAUGUACAUUUAAAAAAAAUGCACAUAUUAUGGGUAAUCCUUAGGUGUAAUAGCAGAAUGUUAGUGGUGUGUGAAAAGUAUGUGUAGCUGUCUCCCUCACUCUAAUAGAGAGCGAGAGAGGCGGGUAUAGUGUGUGGAAACUUUGCAGGGUAGGCCGUCUCUUUCUGGCGCAUGUCAAUUCAGCAAUGACAGAAGGAGAUGGAGUGUUUUACAAUUUUAGGGGUCGCUGUCAAAUGUUGACAGGAUUCCUGUUAUUGCAUUUAGUUAAACAGCAGAUGGAAGGUGUAUGGAAUGUGAUAGGAUUUGGUUCUGACACACAAUGUCAGCUGUAAAAUGUUGACGUGUCACUUUGACAUUUAGAAGAAAUUUAAAAAUUGCCUAAAAUACAAUAUGAAUAAUGUCAAUUCGAUUCAAAACAGUGCGGGCACUGUGUAUGAUAUAGUUGUCUCUGUCACUCUCGAGAAAAACUCGAGCGUAGCUAUCUCUUUCACACAUAAUAAAAUUAAAGAUAUGUACAUACAAAAGGAAAGUAUACAUAAUUUUCACACGCCACCAACGGUAUAUAAUAUAAACAUAAAUAUAGUGUGUUGUUUUUAUUUUCGUCAGACGAUCAGGGUUGCCAGGAGUGAAAAAUUAAUACCUUUUUGGUAUAAAAUUGUUUGUUUUUUAUUAUUAUUAAUAUCAUAACUCGUGUAUCGGUCUUAUUUUAGUGAUUUUAUAUAGUUUAAGAUGUAGACAGCCUUUUAAUGUCAUGUAGGAUGUAUACGUUUUAUUUUUUAGUUUUUAAUAAAUUCUUAGGUGUCGUUGGUGUUGCCAUAUAAUAUUAAAAACAUUAAAAUUGUAAAUUAUUAGCAUUUCCCCCUCUAACAAUUAAGAAUCUAAAUUCUUUAUAAGCAUGUAAGCCCUUUUAAGGGCAUUUAUACACGUCCCAAAUAUAGCUGGCCCUAUCACCACUUGGUGCGAGUCUUAGGAGAAUCUAAAAAUAUAGCAAACAAAUAUAAUUUUGUCUGCAAAUCAGUACAUCAAUGGGUACUAUAAUCCCAUUUCUUCUGCUGUCCUAAAAGAUUUAAAAAAAAAAUAUUUUUAGUAUGUGAUUGGUAUAAAACAAAGUUGCUGUCUGUCCCUAUGUAUGUUUAAUCUUUAAAAGUAAGCAACGGAUUUUGUUGCGGUUUUUUUAAUAGAUAAAGUGAUACAAGAGGAAGGUUUUUAACACAUCACAGAAACUAAAGGGAGAUGUGACAAGGGGGCGUGGCCGGUGUCGCAGUAAUAUGCCCAAAAACAGAACACAUUGUUUGUAAACGCAAUGAUGACAGCAGCGACGUCAUAAUGUGAACAGUUUACAUUGCUUGCGCAGUACUAAAGAUUAUUCGAACGUUGAGGACUGAUACCGCAGUGGAUAAUGAGCACAUAUUUUGAUUACUUGUGUGUGAAUUUCUAGUUGGCAUCUCUCUAAAUCUCUAUGGUUUUUAAGUAUUGUACCUGUACGAAGCAGGGGCGGAUAGUUAUCAAUAAAUUAAUAAAAUAUGGCAACACCAGCGAAAGUUUUGCUCAUAAUAUCCCCAAUACUGUUAAAUUAUAACGUAUUUUAGUCACAAUUUUAUGCGGUAGUUACAAGCUAUGUGUUAGCUCAAAUUUUAUUACGGCUCUGUCAAAUUUAACGUGACAUUUUGUAAUAAGUGAAAAUCAUGUAAUGCAGGUCAUAUGCAUGUUUUUUUUAUGCUGAACAAGGCAGGUAUUUGACCGCAAUCGCACCUGGUGUUGUGAGAUGCUGUCUAGUACAUACCUGCCAUGUAAGUGCUUAUUCUCUCUCGCCUUGAAAAUGUUUGUGAAGAUGUUUGCAAAGAUGAACGAAUAGGCCCAGGCCUGGAGAAUCUUAUUUGCAAAGUGUAAAACUUUGCCAAAACAUUUGUACAUACAUGUGUACAAAGUGUCACGUUGAAUUUGACAUUUUUAAAAGCAAAAUAGGUUUGCCAAUUGCACACUAUAAUCGCUUGUGAGGUCUUUACUCAAUAAUAUUUAAGUGAUCAUUUUAACUAUUCAAUUAUUUUAACCAUACAGGCGUUAAGUUUAUUGUUCGUUUUCAGACCUUAACACAAGGUAAUAUGGUUCAAAACAUGUAAUUGCCUUGUCAAAGGUUUUAAAGGGUUUUACCAACAUCAGAAACUAAAAAGUAUUUUAAAUAAAGUUGUGAAACUCUAAAUUUGACAGCUUACACUUCCGUACUCUAAAAUACACUCAAACUCGAGCAGUAUUUCGACUGAUUACAUUCUAUUAUAAAUUGUAGGAUUAAAAUUGAGCAUCAUUUGGUAGUAUGUGCUUAAUUUUCCUUACGCAAAUAUCUCAAAGUAAUUUUGACUGUACAUUUAUUGAUUUGUCAUAACUGUCAAGAUUGUCACUUAAAUCAGUGCGGUGUUGAUACAAUAAUAUCGUUAUCACAAAAUUAAUAUUUUAAUUCCAACCGGUACUUCCUGAGAUUAAAAUUAAUCAUUCAAACUAAUUUAGCUUUAUAAUACUGGUUUCUGUGGGCACUAUGAGCAUCAAUUUUAUGAGUUUCACAAUACACAAACUGGGCCUUUGGUUUUGUCCGUAUAGUACAAAUUGCAAACAACUGGUAGACCUCAUAUAAAAUUUGGCGUAUAUUUAGGAUAAUUUUUCUCUUGUAUUCUCUGUAUUUUUGGUGUGGAAGUCAUUUGGCACGCGUUGGCAGUAUCUUUCAUAAUUUUCUCAUCAUUUUUGGUUUAAAUUGUUCGUAUUAUGUAAAUAAUAAGGUAAAUGGUGAAAUUUUUUGAAGUAUUUUAACAUUAUUUUGAUUUUAUCAUGAUAGUAUUCCAAAUUUUUAAUUAUUCGUGUAUAAAAAGCAUUUUCAGAACAUUAUUGAAGCAUGCUUUUACAUAAAAACGAAGUAUUUUAGUAUGAUAAUUGAAAAAACUAUACUUUGAUUUUUAAUUGUGCUACAUAGAAAUGUAAAUAUUUACUUGAAAGCAUUUUAUGUAUAUUUAGCAUAUAUAGUUAUGUUGUUUCGUUCAAAAUUCUUUAUGUACAUUGCUUUACGUCACUGCCGACCCUAUAUAAAAGGUGUAUUUACAUUGCAACAUACAUUUCACAAAAGCCCCGCGUAAGCCCCACGAAAGCCCCGCGAACGCCCCGCUGCAGUGUGAAUACACCUUUAGACCACAUGACUACACCUUUCCUGAAGUGCCUAAAAGUAAAAAUAAAUUAAAAAAAGCUAUUGAUUCUGUUUCCCGGCUUUUAAAAUAUGACAUAGUAUAAAUAGCGUUAGUAUAACUAGUUGUAUAAAUUUAUACUGUACAGUACCGUCCAUAUUAUAUUAUAUAACCCUCCACCCCCACCGUGUAUGUCAGAACAAGAUGGCGGACCGAUACAAUUAAAGAUAAUUAGUAAUUACAGAUUAUUUCGAUUUGUUGUUACGUGUUUUUUUGUUUUAGAUAAGAAAAUGUUAUUGUGAGUUAAUUUUAGGUGUAGACAAGGGUGUAUACGGUCCGCCAUCUUGUUUUAUACAACCAUUGUAUAUGAACUCGACGUAGGAUUAUACGUAGUGUAUAGUUAUGGACACUGGUGUAAUUUUUUAUAGUAAUAGAUGUGUCGCUUUUGGAGAGCAUAGACAAGUAAAUUGCAAGCUCACUGUGUGAAGAACACUUGAAAAACUCGACAGGUUGCUAGUGUGUCAGUCAGAGGUUCGAAUCCCAUAUGGGGCAGUCGAUUUUUUCAAGUUUCAAGCAAUUUUGAAUUGUUUGAAAAACAAUUAUUCGCAUUUUUGUCAAGUUUUUAAUAUUUCUAACAGUAAUUACAUAGUUACAGAUUCAUAGUAUAGUAGAUUUAAUUUAUUAAGUAAAAUAUUUACAAAAAAUAUAGUUGAAUCGUAAAAAAUAGAUGGAAAUAAUUAUAGUUAUGUAUAUAUUGCAAUGCACAUACAUACACUUUGUAUUAGAGGCAAUAUUGUUAUAAAUAAUAGUGUGUAAAUCCCAGCAUCUAUCAGGACGCCGAAUCGAACAUUAUUUCAGUGGGCACUAAAAUGCUCGCGAGCACGUUCGCCGAAUCGCUGCGAACGGCGGCGAACCGAAUUCGGUUCGGCGACCUAAUGGACGCUUUUAUAAAUAUAUGGACGGUAACGUACGGCAACGUGUAUAUUACUUGUAAAGGUUAGAACGACGCGACGCAUGUUAUAGUAUGCUAGAGGUUUAUAUUAUAUCACAAAAUAAUGAAAUAAUAUGUUUAGUAAAUUAAACAAUUAUGGUAUGAGAAAAUCACAA